AUUGAACGCUGGCGGCAGGCCUAACACAUGCAAGUCGAACGGUAACAGGAAACAGCUUGCUGUUUCGCUGACGAGUGGCGGACGGGUGAGUAAUGUCUGGGAAACUGCCUGAUGGAGGGGGAUAACUACUGGAAACGGUAGCUAAUACCGCAUAACGUCGCAAGACCAAAGAGGGGGACCCUCGGGCCUCUUGCCAUCGGAUGUGCCCAGAUGGGAUUAGCUUGUUGGUGGGGUAACGGCUCACCAAGGCGACGAUCCCUAGCUGGUCUGAGAGGAUGACCAGCCACACUGGAACUGAGACACGGUCCAGACUCCUACGGGAGGCAGCAGUGGGGAAUAUUGCACAAAGGGCGCAAGCCUGAUGCAGCCAUGCCGCGUGUAUGAAGAAGGCCUUCGGGUUGUAAAGUACUUUCAGCGGGGAGGAAGGGAGUAAAGUUAAUACCUUUGCUCAUUGACGUUACCCGCAGAAGAAGCACCGGCUAACUCCGUG
rnacentral:rRNA from 1 species